UAUUAAAACUAACUCAAAAGUAGAUUGGAUUCCCUCGUUUUUGUCCUUUUCCAUCUUAAUUAGGAAUGCAUCCACAAAGUCUUCACCCUCUUCACUCGGAAUA
rfam:Caenorhabditis elegans chromosome V